UUUUUCUUUUCUUUUUUUUUUUUGGCUUCUUUUUAUAAUCAAUUGCUACCUUUAGAAGACAAAAUUCAAAAUCUCUCAAAUUAAUUUUGAGAUUUGGUUUUAAUUGCUCUUAAUAUUAAAUAUUGGGAUAUAUUGUUAGAAAUUAAAACGUUUGAAUAUAAUUGUUAAUCAGUGAAAACGUUUAACCUUUUUUAUUUAAUAAGCCUAAUUUAUAAUUAUGACUCUUAGUUUCCUAAUUAUAACUAUUAUCAUAUUUUUUUUAUUAUAAGAAAUUAAGUAGAUAAUUUUACUAUUAUAAUAGACAAUGAAAAGGUAGCUUAUCUACAUAAAUACUACAAAGCCCAAGUGGAAUCUUUUGCAAGAAGAUACUUCCACUAUAAGAAAUCUAGGCUUUAACAAUGCUUUUUUAAUUAUCACUUUGUACAUGAUGUUAGAGUAAUAAAUAACAUCAAGGUAGCAUGUUUAGCCAUCAAGGCAAAUAGAUAAUAUAUAUAUUGUAUGAAAGUGUUAUUAAAAAUUUUAGGUUAGAGGAUUUAUGUACAUUACUAGUUACUUGCUUAGAAUUUUUAUUAACAAUAUAUUUUAAAUUUUUUACAAUACAUAAGGUAUAUACAGUUAAAGCUUAGAUUUGUCAUACUGUUCUAUGACAAUAAAGAUGCAUUUUAUUAAA
rnacentral:misc_RNA from 1 species